rnacentral:rRNA from 1 species
AAUUUAGAUUUUAGUAAAAUUAUUUUAUUAUUUUUACCUUUUGCAUCAUGAUUUAUUGAUUAAAUUUAAUAAGUUAUAUUUUCGAAAUAUUAAGAUAAAAAGAUUAUAAUUGUCUUAGGUUAAGACUAAGUAAAUAUCUUUUGUUGUGAUAAAUUAAUCGUUUAAUAUUAUAACUAAUUAAAGACUUUUAGUUUAAUAAAAAUAAAGCUGUUAAUAACUUUAUUUUUUUUGUAAGAUGUUAAUUAUUUAUUAAUUAAGGGUUGAAAAGUUACCUCAUUUAUAUGUGUGUUACUACUUUUAAUUUGUAUUUUUUCUUCUAAUAGUGGUCUUUUUUAUUAAUUAAAUAUAAAAAAAAAUGAUAGAAUAAGUAGUCAAUUAAUUUAUUAUUUUCUCAAAAUAAUUCGGUAUGUUUAUUAAAAACAUUGCUAUAUAAAAAUUUAUAUAGUAUAGCCUGCUCAGUGCCUGUUAGGUAAAUAGCCGCAGUAUCUUGACUGUGCUAAGGUAGCAUAAUUAAUUGCCUUUUAAAUGGAGGAUUGUUUGAAUGGUAUUACCAGAAUUAGUAUUUAAUAAUAAAUUUUAAUGAAAUUAGUUUAUUAGCACAGAAUCUAAUAUUAAUUUACUAGACGGAAAGACCCUGAAAUCUUAUAUUAAAUUUACUUGGGACAAGAUUAAAUAUUUUAUUUAAAUUUAGAACCCCCCUUUAAGGGUUUAAUGAAAAAGUUACUUCAGGGAUAACUGGGUUAGAAAAAAUAAGAGUACACAUCAAAUUUUUUAAUUGCCACCUCGAUGUUGACUUAAGAUAUACUUUUUGAUGCAGCAGUUUACAAAGUAGGUCUGUUCGACCUUUAAUUCUUAUGAGUUGAGUUAAAACCGGUGUAAGCCAGGUUGGUUCUUAUCUGUAUGUCAAUCUCUAUAGUACGAAAGGAUCUAGAGAGUUUUAAUUUA